AAAAUCUCAUCUACCAAAACUAAUUACAAAUAUCUCAUUUUUUACACUUUCUCUCUUCAACCUCCAUAUACAUAUCCAUAUACACAUCACACCUCCAUAAUUUAUGUCUAAAAUCAAGCAACCAUAAUUAAGAGAUUACAAGGUUUGAAUUUACAAACCUUAUCUUAUCAAAUUGUUGAACAUCAUCAUCUUCAAAUUAUUAUUGAGGUUAGUUUAAUUUUUUAAUUUUUUUUUAUUUUACUAAAUCAAAAAUCUACGAGUUAUUUGUUGCAUGUGUGUAAUUUCCAAACCUUAAGCAUAGAAAUGGAGUCUAGUUCGAGUUUUAGAGAAAAAAGAUCAAAACACUGAAAUGAUGCCGCCAAGAUGAAGAAGCUGAGGGAAGUUACCCGUACAAGCUCUAAAAAGUCCGUUGCUAAACCUUCAAGUAAGAUAAAAAGUGAAGAAUCAUCACGACCGCAUAUUUCAAAGGUAUAGUGAUUUGUUGAUGAAUCUGUAUUUUUUGUCGAUUUAUGCAUUCUUAUACAUUGUUAUAUAGGAGCGUUUUGUUGUUAUUUCAACCUUAUAUAUAAAUUAGUUAUGUAUAGUGUUAGAGACGUCUUCUUAUACAUUAAAUUUGUUAUAUAUACCAAUAAUCGAAUACUUUUAUCUGUAAAUACUGCAUAUUUGAUUUCAUCCAUAAAUCGAUUUUCUUCCAUGGUCUGAUUACUUAGUAAAUUCAUGUUGUUAGUUUGAACUAUGAUACAUAGCGAGUUAUGUAUAUAUUUGUAGUUAUGUUAUUUGUUGGACGUUUAAUUUCAACUCAUAUACAUAAAUCUGUUAUGUAUAUGUAUUGAAACAAUUAUUGUUGGGUUGUUUAAUUUCAGGUGAUAUACAUUACAGAGUUAUCUAUAUGUUAUGCAUCAAUAGUGUUAUACAUAACACAGUUAUGUAUAUGACUCUGUUAGAUAAGACGAGUUGUGUAUAUUUCAACCUAUAUACAUAGCAGUGUUUUGUAUAUGAAAGAACAUUAGACAUAUAUAUGAUGUUAUCUUUAUAUUUUCAAGUUGUGUUUCAUAUUGUUAUGUAUAUAUGAUGCCUAAGAUGUAUAUUUUGGAAACCUAUAUGUAUAAGGGUUAGUGUUCACUGUUGUCGUGUUCUUCAAAUUUUAUAGGAACCCAUUUUUUUGUUUCAAUUUUUUCAUACUUACAUAGUAAUAUUUCUUUUAUAUAUAGACUAGAUAAUAAAAAAUUUCGUAGACUUAUAUAGUAAUUUUAUUUUUUUACAAGUCUUUUUUUUCGUUUUAAAAUUUUCUAUGUCCCUUUUAUUUUACAAGAGCCUUUUUUC
rnacentral:lncRNA from 1 species